AAACAGAGUCGUGUGUGUGUGUGUGUGUGUGUGUGUGUGGGUGUGGGUGUGUGUGUGUGUUUUAGUUUAAACUGCUCUGAACACAGCUGACAGGAAGCGGUCGUAUACACUGAUGCAGAUACAGAGCUGUGAAAUUAACAGCAGAAAAUUCUGCUGCACACAGAAACACACAUCAGGCUGUUCCUGGGUCUUUACUCGGCAACACUGCUUUCCCCAGCCAGGCCCAUUGGCCUCCUUCUGACUGCCAGAGAGGAGGAGUACUCGAUCUGUGGGUUGGUCUGUCUGAUACACACUCUAGACAACUCCUCUUAACCUUUGGAAUGUAGACACACGCACACACACACACACGCACACACACACACACACGCACGCACACACACACACGCACACACACACACACACACAGAAACACAAUAUCUCUCUUUAGUAAACAAAUGCACCACGAUCUACAACAACUCCAACCACCACUGUUCAAGGAUUCCUCUCCAACCCCUUCAACAGCCCUCUAAACUAACCCGCAUCUCUGCAGACCACCCCACGGCAUCCUGCACCCACUCAGUAAAUACACACACUUACAUGCAAACACACUACACAAUGGAACAAAGAGCGAAAAAAGAAGGCGCCGGACAGAGAUCAGAAUAACGCCCCUUUAGGAAGACACCUGCUUCACCUCCUCCUCCUCACCCUCCUCUUCCACCUCUCCUUCCCUCCCAACCUGCAAAGUGUCGGCCGAGUCCCUCUCCUUCAGAAGAUGGCCGCCGUCUAAGUGGACUUGUCCCAGCCCAGCGGUCCAUACGAGUACAGGAUGGAAAUAGACAAGGAGCGGAAGCCGCUAGGCUGCUGGCAUACAGCCGCGCUCCUUUGAUAAGUGCUUCUCCAAUUCCCUCUGAAGGCCGGGAGAGAUUUACCACCACGUAGAUCCUGCAUGGGAACCGCAGUGGCAGGCUGUAACAUGAAAGAGGCCUUUGAAAGUCCAACAGCUCAACCAUACCUGCACGACGUGGUUUGUUUGUGUAGGCUCAUGUUUCAACGCGCACACCGUGCGUCAGGAUUUCACACAGGCACGCGAGGCAUCGAAAGCCAAACCUCUACCCUGUGACCUUUUAACCUCCUUGAGGCUGAUGUAUCGCGGGUGUACCACCAGCCAUCCAUUAUGACCCCUAUUUGUCUGCUUUCUGAAUGGGCUCACCCAAAUGCCAUCGUACCUUUCUCUACAUGUCAAACAACGUUUUUUCCAUGACCUCAGCAGUACGGCACUGUAAGCCAUUCUCUCGCCUCCACUCUCUUUCCCUGGACUUGGAAUCCUCCUUAAAUCCAGCUGGAAGAAACGUGUUCAAAAACAUCAACGGAAAAAUGUGUCAAUUGAGUUACCGUCCACAGAACAAAACUGCUGCCAGGGUUUUAAAGAGGCCAGAGACAAAUGGAGAAUAAGCAGAGUAUAAUGAAGUGAUGUUAACACAAUGUAAUAUUCCCCACAUUAAUUCAUCAUUCAUGGUGUCUCUUAAAAACCAUCUUUAAAAAAUAAAAUGGAAUUUGUCUUUUAAUAAAAUAGUGCGCGUCUCUUUCCCUCACUUUAAACUUAUUUCAUGACAUCUGUAGCAUUCCUACAUAUUUAUUAUCUCUAACUACAUUAAUUAAGGCUAUAUUUAGCCAGCGCUAUUGAUUUCUUGACCUGUGGGUAUGAAGGUUUCUUGAGAAAUGCCUAAAAAAG
ensembl:lncRNA